GAUGAACGCUGGCGGCGUGCCUAAUACAUGCAAGUCGAGCGAACGGACGAGAAGCUUGCUCCUCUGAUGUUAGCGGCGGACGGGUGAGUAACACGUGGAUAACCUACCUAUAAGACUGGGAUAACUUCGGGAAACCGUAGCUAAUACCGGAUAAUAUUUUGAACCGCAUGGUUCAAUAGUGAAAGACGGUCUUGCUGUCACUUAUAGAUGGAUCCGCGCUGCAUUAGCUAGUUGGUAAGGUAACGGCUUACCAAGGCAACGAUGCAUAGCCGACCUGAGAGGGUGAUCGGCCACACUGGAACUGAGACACGGUCCAGACUCCUACGGGAGGCAGCAGUAGGGAAUCUUCCGCAAUGGGCGAAAGCCUGACGGAGCAACGCCGCGUGAGUGAUGAAAGUCUUCGGAUCGUAAAACUCUGUUAUUAGGGAAGAACAAAUGUGUAAGUAACUAUGCACAUCUUGACGGUACCUAAUCAGAAAGCCACGGCUAACUACGUG
rnacentral:rRNA from 1 species